GAUGAACGCUGGCGGCGUGCUUAACACAUGCAAGUCGAACGGAAAGGCCCAAGCUUGCUUGGGUACUCGAGUGGCGAACGGGUGAGUAACACGUGGGUGAUCUGCCCUGCACUUCGGGAUAAGCCUGGGAAACUGGGUCUAAUACCGGAUAGGACGAUGGUUUGGAUGCCAUUGUGGAAAGUUUUUUCGGUGUGGGAUGAGCUCGCGGCCUAUCAGCUUGUUGGUGGGGUAAUGGCCUACCAAGGCGUCGACGGGUAGCCGGCCUGAGAGGGUGUACGGCCACAUUGGGACUGAGAUACGGCACAGACUCCUACGGGAGGCAGCAGUGGGGAAUAUUGCACAAUGGGCGCAGGCCUGAUGCAGCGACGCCGCGUGGGGGAUGACGGCCUUCGGGUUGUAAACUCCUUUCGCUAGGGACGAAGCGUUUUUGUGACGGUACCUGGAGAAGAAGCACCGGCUAACUACGUG
rnacentral:rRNA from 1 species